UACAGAGGUCUCAAGCGUUGUUCGGAUUCAUUGGGCGUAAAGGGUGCGUAGGUGGCGUCGUAAGUCAGGUGUGAAAUUUCGGAGCUUAACUCCGAAACUGCAUUUGAUACUGCGGUGCUUGAGGACUGGAGAGGAGACUGGAAUUUACGGUGUAUCAGUGAAAUGCGUAGAGAUCGUAAGGAAGACCAGUGGCGAAGGCGGGUCUCUGGACAGUUCCUGACACUGAGGCACGAAGGCCAGGGGAGCAAACGGG
rnacentral:rRNA from 1 species